AACGUAGGACGCAAGCGUUAUCCGGAGUUACUGGGCGUAAAGCGCGUGCAGGCGGUCACCCAAGUCUGAUGUGAAAUCACUAGGCUCAACCUAGCGAGGCCAUUGGAAACUAGGCGACUGGAGGGCAGCAGAGGUAGGCGGAAUUCCGGGUGGAGUGGUGAAAUGCGUAGAGAUCCGGAGGAACACCAGUGGCGAAGGCGACACGCUGGGCCGUACCUGACACUGAUGCGCGACAGCAUGGGGAGCAAACAGG
rnacentral:rRNA from 1 species